GGACAACGCUGGCGGCGUGCUUAAUACAUGCAAGUCGAGCGAGGUUACUGUUUCGGAUCCCUUCGGGGUGAAGAAGCUUUAACCUAGCGGCGGACGGGUGAGUAACGCGUGGGUAACCUACCCCAAAGUCCGGGAUAACAGCGGGAAACCGCUGCUAAUACCGGAUGUCUUUACCUUGGGGCAUCUUGAGGUAAAGAAAGGUAACGCUUUGGGAUGGGCCCGCGUCCCAUUAGCUAGUUGGUGAGGUAACGGCUCACCAAGGCGACGAUGGGUAGCCGGCCUGAGAGGGUGGACGGCCACACUGGGACUGAGACACGGCCCAGACUCCUACGGGAGGCAGCAGUAGGGAAUAUUGCGCAAUGGACGGAAGUCUGACGCAGCGACGCCGCGUGAGCGAUGAAGGUCUUCGGAUCGUAAAGCUCUGUCCUUGGGGAAGAAGGUCUUCGGACUUGACGGUACCCAAGAAGAAAGCCCCGGCUAACUACGUG
rnacentral:rRNA from 1 species